CUGCGCGUAGGGGCGGGGCCGCGGCGAUCUGGGGUGGCGGGCUCAGAUGGCGGCGGGGCAGGGCGCUUGAGCGGGCGGGGGCCAUGAGUGCCACCCGAUCCCAGUUCAGCAUCGAUGACGCCUUCGAGCUGACCCUGGAGGACGCAGGUCCUGGGCCCGAAUCCAGCGGAGUCGCCCGCUUCGGGCCGCUACAUUUCGAGCGCCGGGCCCGGUUCGAGGCGGCUGACGAAGACAAGCAGUCCCGGCUGCGCUAUCAGAACCUGCAGAAUGAUGAAGAUGUAGCCCAGCCUUCUCCGGAACCAGAUGGGGGAGUCAGCACCAGGGAUUCUGGCCGAACAUCCAUCCGCAGCUCCCAGUGGUCUUUUAGUACCAUCAGCAGCACCACCCAGCGCUCCUACAAUGCCUGCUGCAGCUGGACCCAACACCCUCUAAUCCAGAAGAACUGCCGGGUAGUGCUGGCCUCCUUCCUGCUCCUGCUGCUGGGGCUGGGAAAGUCAAAGCUCCACAGCCAGCCAGGCCUUCUAGGCCAGAAAGCCCAGCCCCAGCUCCAGGAGUCUGAGCGAAAAGCAGAUCCUGCCUGACCUCUUCAGCUUCCCUGACAUCAACUAACCUUGCCUGGGACUCCAGGCCCUACCAAAUUCCUGCAGCCUGAGCUGUUCCUGUCCAGUGUAGCCUUUGCUGGAAGCUUUUGGAAAGGCCCAGCUCCCUCCAGCCUCCGAGCCUUUGCCAUGAGGUUUGCUCUGUCUGGAAUUCUGUCUGCCUGAUGAUCCCCACAGCAAAGCCUCUAGAGUCAGACAGCCUUGGGGAAGUGACUCCCGCUGUGUGCCUCAGUUUUCUUUUAUACCUGUCUCCUGUCAAAGUGACUAAUAAGACAGUGCCUGGUAAGUGGUCAAUAUCAACUCUGAUUGCUCUUGCUGAUGCUGACCUUUCUCCACGUAGAUAUCACUGCCUCCAUAAAGCCUCUCCCUGGCCCUCCACGCUGACUGGGGCAGCACCUCUCGGCUCCCACACUACCCUGUCUUUUCCCCACAUAUCCUGAUCACCUGGGUUAUAGCCUUCAUGUUCUUGUUGGUCCUUCUACUAAGGAAGAGCCACAAGGGCUGGGCCUUAUCUGCCUUUCACAAUGGAAUUCCUAGUACUAGUCAUGCAGGAGGUGUUCCCUAAGUAUUUACUGAAUGACUUAAUCCAUACCAAGGAGCAAAAAUCUCAUUUCACAGACAUUUCCUAGGGCCUGCAAAGUGCCUGCUCUGAAAACACAGGUGACCUUCCCAGGGAGGGUCUCUGCCCAGGGGCUUUUCACCUGAGGUGGGGGACACCAUUCCUCAGGUCUGGUCUGGGGUUUGGGGUGGAAGGCCUAGUCCUCACCCCCUGGUGGCCCCAUCUGUGUGCAGUGCUGAUCCUGGUCGGCGUGGGACUGGAGGUGGCCCCCUCUCCAGGUGUCUCCAGUGCCAUCUUCUUCGUGCCCGGCUUCCUGUUGUUGAUCCCCGGAGUGUACCACGUGAUCUUCAUCUACUGUGCCGUCAAG